AGUGAACGCUGGCGGUAGGCCUAACACAUGCAAGUCGAACGGCAGCACGGUAAGAGCUUGCUCUUACGGGUGGCGAGUGGCGGACGGGUGAGGAAUACAUCGGAAUCUACUUUUUCGUGGGGGAUAACGUAGGUAAACUUACGCUAAUACCGCAUACGACCUACGGGUGAAAGCAGGGGAUCUUCGGACCUUGCGCGAUUGAAUGAGCCGAUGUCGGAUUAGCUAGUUGGCGGGGUAAAGGCCCACCAAGGCGACGAUCCGUAGCUGGUCUGAGAGGAUGAUCAGCCACACUGGAACUGAGACACGGUCCAGACUCCUACGGGAGGCAGCAGUGGGGAAUAUUGGACAAUGGGCGCAAGCCUGAUCCAGCCAUACCGCGUGGGUGAAGAAGGCCUUCGGGUUGUAAAGCCCUUUUGUUGGGAAAGAAAAGCAGCAGGUUAAUACCCCGCUGUUCUGACGGUACCCAAAGAAUAAGCACCGGCUAACUUCGUG
rnacentral:rRNA from 1 species